UACGGAGGGCGCAAGCGUUGUUCGGACUCACUGGGCGUAAAGCGCGUGUAGGCGGCCUGGUAAGUCGGGUGUGAAAUCCUGGGGCUCAACUCCGGAACUGCACUGGAAACUGCUCUGCUUGAGGCCGGGAGAGGGGCGUGGAAUUCCCGGUGGAGAGGUGAAAUUCGUAGAUAUCAAGAGGAACACCAGUGGCGAAGGCGGGCCCCUGGACGGUAACUGACGCUGAGACGCGAAAGCGUGGGGAGCAAACAGG
rnacentral:rRNA from 1 species